CGGCGUCCUGGGGCGUCCACUGUGAGGACGGAGCUUCCUCUCAGCACCCACCCAGGAGGGGCCGGGGCUUAGGACACGUGGGGCCACGCCCGCUGUGAGCACAGGGAGACGCUCCGGGACACCUGGGGCCGCCGAGGAGAAAGACCCACCCAGGAGGGGCCGGGGCUUGGGACGCCGGGGGGCACCUGGGGCCGCGUCCGCUGUGAGGACAGGGAGACGCUGCUGCAGUUCCCGGACACCUGGGGCCGACCCUGGUACCGGGAGAGGAGGAGGAACGCGGAGACGCCGUCGGGCGUUCGGGAUGUUGGGGACUGGCAGGCGCCACAGCCUGAGGUCGAGGAAACAGGCGCCCCCGGAUCAGUGCUCAUUUUUUGUUUGCUUUUGUUUUUUUUGAGACGGACUUUCGCUCUUGUUUCCCAGGUUGGAGUGCAAUGGCGCGAUCUCGGCUCACUGCAAUCUCCGCUUCCCGGGUUCAAGCGAUUCUCUUGCCUCAGCCGCCGGGGUUACAGGCAUGCACCAGCACACCCGGCUAAUUUUGUAUUUUUAGUAGAGACGGGGUUUCUCCAUGUUGCUCAGGCUGGUCUUGAACUCCCAACCUCAUCAGGUGAUCCACCCACCUCGGCCUCCCAAAGUGGUGGGAUUACAGGCGUCAGCCACCUGGCCUGGUCAGUGCUCCGUGUUUUCAGGCUCAUCUGUUAACAUAGUGGAAACAACACAGGAAAAUGGAAAAGUAGGCACAUUAUCAUGCUCACGCCACUGCAUUCAAGCCCUGGGCAACAGAGCGAGACCUUGUCUCAAAAAACAAAAACAAAUGAAAACAAAACCAAAAAAGCCAUUGUGUGCGUCUAACGGAAGUGAACGCGUCAACAACAGUUUUUCUUUUGUUGAGAAAGUCUGUUUAAUUUGCAGUGUAUUUGUAAUGGUACAUAAAAUGACGUCUGUUUUAUAAACAUUCUCAUCCUAAGUUAGUUGAAAUGUAUUAACUAUAUCAAGCUUUGACAUGAUACCAUAAAAUUAAUUGAA
rnacentral:lncRNA from 1 species